rnacentral:rRNA from 1 species
GACGUAGGGCGCGAGCGUUGUCCGGAUUUAUUGGGCGUAAAGAGCUCGUAGGCGGCUUGUCGCGUCGUCCGUGAAAACCUGCAGCUCAACUGCAGGCUUGCGGUCGAUACGGGCAGGCUAGAGUUCGGCAGGGGAGACUGGAAUUCCUGGUGUAGCGGUGAAAUGCGCAGAUAUCAGGAGGAACACCGGUGGCGAAGGCGGGUCCCUGGGCCGAUACUGACACUGAGGAGCGAAAGCGUGGGGAGCGAACAGG